rnacentral:snoRNA from 1 species
UGCAGAUGAUGCACAUCUCACGAUGGUCUGCUGAGCCCUCCAUGGGUCUGACGACACUGCCACAAGGCUUUCCUGAUGCAGGUGA